AGCGACUGAAGUAAUGCCUGAUACUGCCAUUACCCUGCUACUGUGUGUGGGAUUGUGCAAAAAUGACUGAGCACAUCAGUUUUCUCUGAAAUGGAGACCAGUAAAGUUAGAGUCUGAGUGGUCAGGCGGUCGCUCCUUCCUGUGCGCUACAUGUGGAGUCAGGUGUGUGUUUGGAGGCAGACAGCUCAGCCGUCCGUCUUUCUACCCUCAUAUAUGUUCCUCUGAAGAGGCAAAAACACCCACAGACACGGAAAACGAAGCAGGGAGGACUCUCACCCUUUUCUCAAGUAGUUAUUUUCUCCACCACCAGAUGGCGACAAAUGUUCAGAAAAGGCAGCCCGGCAUCAACCGGAAGCAGGUUCUCACGCCGCCGCCAGGUUUCCUGCAGCUUCAAUGAUGUUAUUGAAAUAGAGAAAUAUUCUGA